rnacentral:rRNA from 1 species
UACAGAGGGUGCAAGCGUUGUUCGGAAUUAUUGGGCGUAAAGCGCGUGUAGGCGGCUUUGCAAGUCGGGUGUGAAAGCCCUCAGCUCAACUGAGGAAGUGCGCCCGAAACUGCAGAGCUUGAGUACCGGAGAGGGUGGCGGAAUUCCCGGUGUAGAGGUGAAAUUCGUAGAUAUCGGGAGGAACACCGGUGGCGAAGGCGGCGAUCUGGGUCGAUACUGACGCUGAGGUGCGAAAGCGUGGGGAGCAAACAGG